rnacentral:tRNA from 1 species
GAAGGUAUGGCUUAGUUGGUAGAGCUCAUGCUGAGCGUGCAUGAGAGACUUGGUUCAAUUCUCAGCACCUCCA